rnacentral:rRNA from 1 species
CAGCAGCCGCGGUAAUACGUAGGGUGCAAGCGUUAAUCGGAAUUACUGUGCGUAAAGCGUGCGCAGGCGGUUAUAUAAGACAGAUGUGAAAUCCCCGGGCUCAACCUGGGAACUGCAUUUGUGACUGUAUAGCUAGAGUACGGCAGAGGGGGAUGGAAUUCCGCGUGUAGCAGUGAAAUGCGUAGAUAUGCGGAGGAACACCGAUGGCGAAGGCAAUCCCCUGGGCCUGUACUGACGCUCAUGCACGAAAGCGUGGGGAGCAAACAGGAUUAGAUACCCCAGUAGUCCCUGUCUCUUAUAA